UCAGCACAGAGCCAGACACGGGGCUCAAUCCCAGGACUCUGGGACCAUGACCUGCGCCAAAGUCAAGAGUCCUCAACGCUUAACAGACUGAGCCCACCCAGGUGCCCCCAACAUAUUUUUUAAAGCGUUUGUAAAAUGCACGAACAUGUUGAAAAAAGAGGUUUUCAGAAGUUUACAGUGAAAAGUCUCCCUCAGAAACACUCAGUUCCCCAGUCACUGUCCCUUCUGGACUCUUCCAGAAGUAUUUCCACCAUGUGGAGGGGGAGAGGGUGUUUUAAUUUCUACCCUCAAAGCCUUAAAAACAAACAAACAAAAAAAAAGGGGGGGGGGAAGAUUCCUAAAAAACGUUCUGCCAUUAAGAAAAGACUCACUCUUGGGGCGCCUGGGUGGCGCAGUCGGUUAAGCGUCCGACUUCAGCCAGGUCACCAUCUCGCGGUCCGUGAGUUCGAGCCCCUCGUCAGGCUCUGGGCUGAUGGCUCGGAGCCUGGAGCCUGUUUCCGAUUCUGUGUCUCCCUCUCUCUCUGCCCCUCCCCCGUUCAUGCUCUGUCUCUCUCUGUCCCAAAAAUAAAUAAAAGUUGAAAAAAAAAUUUAAAAAAAAAGACUCACUCUUGUUUUAAAUUAUGAUCAUUGUAUUGUUUUACGCCACUUAGAAUGAGAAAACGAAACUGUUCUGUAUUUUCUUUGAUAACCCGUGUAGGUAGGUGUUUAUGAAAAAGAUCUGAUGAGAGUUCAGAAUUGACUUUGUAAUUUUUAACAUUUUUCAGAGAGAAUGAAUUUAUGCCUGGGGAAUUAAAAUGAGUAUUAAGAGCAAAAUGUCAUGUCUCCGGUUAGGAGACGCCAGUAACUUCCUAAUCCAGAUGUUUCUGAAGGUUAUUCGUGCAAAAAGGUUUCAAAGGAACAAAACACGGAGGCCCUUUGUAGGGUUGUUUCUCCCCAAUUUUCGGGGAACCAAAAAGCUGAGGUUCUUUCUGAGGGGAUCAGGCUUAGCUUCAAACCACACCCUGUUCACUGUUGGCCGUGGCUUUUGCUGGAAGCCUCGUGAUUCGUGUUGUUUAACGGCUGAGUCACGAGCUUUGUGACAUAGUUUUUUCCAGAGUCCAAAAGGUACAGAGAAGAACAGGCCUGGUUUCAGGGGCAGGGAAGGGAGAGGAGGAGGAAGAGGAGGACGGGAGGAAGAAGAGAGGCUCGGAGGGUGGGAAUGGGGUCCAGGGUUAUCUCCAAAGAGAAAACAUUCUUGGGAGCUGACAACACUGAUGUCUCGAGCAGAAAAACAAUUCUCUGCAACACCCCUGCUGCAUUCCUUCAGUCCAGCAGAAGGUAUAGAAGUAAACGUCCAAGGGCACGGGGGUGACAGGGAGAGGGAGAGAAAAGGAGAGGGGAUGGCUGGUGUUUCCCCAGAGAGGGGAUUCUCAAGCACCAGUGAUCGGACCCCUCCGAGGACACGUGGCAACGUCUGGAGGCAAUUUUUGGCUGUCACAACUGUGGCGUGAGCGGGGAGGAAGAGUUCCUGCUACUGGCGUGUGGUCACCGAGGUCGGGGACGCUGCGGCACCCCCCCCCCCACGCGAUUACCCAGCCCCGAAGAUCCGUCCUUUGCAAACGCCCCAGAAGAGCUCGCUUCGGAGGUGGAACCAAUGGAAGAGUGACAGAGGCCCAGCAACACGGCGGGAUUGGCGCGCGGACGCGAGCACGUGACGGGCUGAGCUCACAAAGGGCCUGGGGUGCUGGGCUGCUGGGGGCGGGGUGGGCGGUGCUGGUGGGACUGGUGCCCGUCUGUCUGCCUGCCUUUCCUCCUUCCCCAAAGGAUUUGGUUCCCCUGAAGGUCAUAACCAUGUUUGGGACUUAACUCAGCAUCAUGAGAAAAUCCAAGAGCACAGCGAUCAGCAAACAUUUCCCCCAAGAGAGAGGAUGAGAUCAAGGGCAGGCUGGGAACCGUU